GGGGCAUUAGCUCAGUUGGCUAGAGCGCUUGCAUGGCAUGCAAGAGGUCGUCGGUUCGAACCCGAUAUGCUCCACCA
rnacentral:tRNA from 1 species